rnacentral:antisense_RNA from 1 species
CUCAAUGGUGGGCCGGGCGGAGGCACCGCAAGGUGCGCCGGUGUCCAGUAAGGCCGGUAAGACCAACUCCGUCCGGUUCCACCACCAGA